rnacentral:rRNA from 1 species
UGAAUACGAGACGCUAAGGCGUCGAAGUAGUGUAUGUCAUACUUCCAAGAAAAGCUUGCACUGUCAUAGAUAAAAAACGCCUGUACCAUAACCGACACAGGUGGGUAGGUAGAGUAUACUAAGGGCGCGAGAUAACUCUCUCUAAGGAACUCGGCAAAAUAACUCCGUAACUUCGGGAGAAGGAGUGCCUUAUUCGUAAGGUUGCAAUAACAAGAUCCAAGCAACUGUUUAUCAAAAACACAGGUCUCCGCUAAGUCGUAAGACGAUGUAUGGGGGCUGACGCCUGCCCAGUGCCAGAAGGUUAAAGAAGUUGGUUAGCAAUUGCGAAGCUGAUAACUGAAGCCCUGGUGAACGGCGGCCGUAACAAUAACGGUCCUAAGGUAGCGAAAUUCCUUGUCGGGUAAGUUCCGACCCGCACGAAAGGCGUAAUGAUUUGGAUACUGUCUCGGAGAGGGGCUCGGUGAAAUAGACUUGUCUGUGAAGAUGCGGACUACCUGCACCAGGACAGAAAGACCCUAUGAAGCUUUACUGUAACUUGGAAUUGAAAUUGGACUUUAUUCGCGCAGUAUAGGUGGGAGGCGUUGAUUAUAAUCUUGUGGGAUUAUUGGAGCCAUCAGUGAGAUACCACUCUUGUAAUGUUAGAUUUCUAACUUUGAAUCAUUAUCUGGUCAAAGAACAGUUUCAGGCGGGCAGUUUGGCUGGGGCGGUCGCCUCCUAAACGGUAACGGAGGCGUACAAAGGUUUCCUCUGAACGGUUAGAAAUCGUAUCUAGAGUGUAAAGGCAUAAGGAAGCUUGACUGUGAGACCUACAAGUCGAGCAGGGACGAAAGUCGGUCUUAGUGAUCUGACGGUACUGAGUGGAAAGGCCGUCACUCAACGGAUAAAAGUUACUCUAGGGAUAACAGGCUGAUCUCCCCCAAGAGUUCACAUCGACGGGGAGGUUUGGCACCUCGAUGUCGGCUCACCGCAUCCUGGGGCGGUAGUACGUCCCAAGGGUUGGGCUGUUCGCCCAUGAAAGCGGUACGCGAGCCGGGUUCAGAACGUCGUGAGACAGUUCGGUCCAUAUCCGGUGUAGGCGUUAGAAUAUUGAGAGGAGCCUUCUUUAGUACGAGAGGACCGAGAAGGACAUACCUCUGGUGUACCAGUUAUCGUGCCAACGGUAAACGCUGGGUAGCUAUGUAUGGAGUGGAUAACCGCUGAAAGCAUCUAAGUGGGAAGCCCACCUCAAGAUAAGUA